GAAAUUUUAAGAUAACGCUACUGCGCAUGUCAGAGGACGACUCAAACGUUUGGCGUCUGACUGCGGAUGAACGCUCGCUACUUUUACUCGAGCAGUCCUCAGACAUCCGGUCAAGAUGCUCGCGAGAGGCCGGAGAGGCUGUAGGAAGCAAAUCAGAGGUAUUAUCAUAUUAUCUGUUUGGUAUCCUCUGACUGCCCCUGAACCCGCUGUGCCACAGACGGCACCAAGCCACACCUGGACAAACCUUUCAGUGUGUAAGCUGUCAAUUCCAUGACUUAGUUCCGCGUAUGCCGUGUCAUGUUUUCCAAAACUAAUUUCAGAUUUCGACCACAGAACAGUUUUCCAUCUUGCCUCAGUCUAUUUUAAACGAGCUUUGCUACAGGGAAGACUGUAGCAAAGCAUUUCUGAAUCAUAUAGCUAUAUACAUAUAGCUUCUUCUUUGAUAGAGCUUUAUUCUUUACCUGGGUGGUUUGGGGAAAUGUGUUCAGUGAUUUCUGGAAGGGUUCCUGAGCCAUUCAGUGAUUUUCAUGACAGAAUCGUGGCUGUGUGCCCCCUGAAGUCCUGAAGAUUGCAGCAUCCAGCACUGAUUUUCAGCGUUAUUGCUUGCACAGACAUUUCUCCAGAUUCUAUAAACGAUGAGAUAUUUAAAGAAUUUGCUACAAUUGUUCCACAGUUAGUAGACAGAAACUCUGCCUCUCUAAGAUGCUCUUUUUAUACCCGAUCCUGUUACUGACUUGCUGCCAGUUAACAAGCUAUAAAAUGUUGUUUCUUACCACUCGUGAAAUUUGCAAAUCAUUGCAUUCUAUUUUUAUAUUGUUUUGAAUUUUGCAUGUGAGCCUGACUUUUUUGUAAUGGGGGUUGUAGGUAGUAAUUUUGGUCAAGUUUGCUUCGUUGUCAAAAGUUGGUCAAUUACAGCAAAUAUGAAUUUCUUAAUGCAUAGUUCAUAAACUUACAUGGAGUCUUGCAGAUUUGUAAAACAAAGCACGACUAAAAAGCUUUGGCAAGAUUUUUUAAGAAUAAUGUUACACGGUGUCCUGGAGCAUAGGGACUUCAUCAUAUCUGUUUUAGGAAGACAUGAACUCUUUUAUACUUCAUCGUUUGUUCUAUAGUUAUACAGCAGAGAGCCGUAAGUUAGUCCUUAAAUGGUGCAGAACUCACAAACACAUUUAUUCCUCUCUUACAGUCGUUGCCAAUUCACUACAAAUUGGAACUCCAUACAUACUCCAUUAUGGCGGACCACAUGUUUACAAAAAAAGACUUUACUAUAUGGAAUAAGAGAGAUAAUCGAAGGGGGGAAACCCCAAACUCCAGUGUUUGAAGGUUAAAAACAGCAAAUUCAUCUGUUAUUCUGUGUAUCUGUAGGAAGUUGCUUUUGUGCUCGCUUUCCUCAUUUAAUGAAUCAUUGUUGUUUAUCUCCUCAUCGCUACCCAAGGAAAAAAGGUUAAUGAGAGGAAUUUAAAAUUUGUUUAAUGAGGCAGUAAAAUUUUAAUAUUUUUCUUUCUUUUCAUAAACACAAAAUUAAGCGUUUA